AUGCAUCGGUCCUCGCAAGAGUCCGAUGUGUCGUCGAAGGUCGAAGGAGUGUAACUCCCGUCCAUAUGGGUGCAUCGGUCCUUGUAAGGGUCCGAUGUAUCGUCGACCAUCGAAGGAGUGUCAACUCCCGUCCGUGUAGAUGAGUCGGUCCUCGCAAGAGUCCGAUGGGUCACCGGCGGUAAAGUCGUCGGCUUGAGGUGGAUACCGAGUCCAAGUCGGUAUGUCGGGGCUUGGCCUUGGUAAGCGCCGAUCAUUAGUCAAAGAGUUAAAACUCCGAGAUUUCAAACCGAAUUCAUAUUCCGACUGAACAAUUACAAAGUUCACGGGUAAUACAACUUCAAGUUGUCGGCGUUCCAAGUUCGGGGAAUGGUUUUCCCCUCAAGGGUCUCCAGUCGGUAGACUCUCGGACCAUAAGUGUCUGCUACUUUGUAGGGUCCUUCCCAAUUUGGAGCCAACUUCCCUUGGUCCAAGGGCUUCGAGACUUCCACCUUCCUCAAGACCAAGUCGCCAGGCCUGAAGAGCUUCGGUCUGAC
rnacentral:lncRNA from 1 species